rnacentral:rRNA from 1 species
CCGUGCGAAGGUAGCGCAAUCACUUGUCUUUUAAAUAGGGACCUGUAUGAAUGGCAUAACGAGGGCUUGACUGUCUCCUCUUUCAAGUCAAUGAAAUUGAUCUCCCCGUGCAGAAGCGGGGAUAAAUACAUAAGAACGAGAAGACCCUAUGGAGCUUUAGAACACUUAAGCAGAUCAGCAUUAAUACCCCACACACGGGAUUCGAAUAAACUGACCCCUGCCCUAAUGUCUUCGGUUGGGGCGACCGCGGAGAAAUAUAAAACCCCCGCAAGGACUGAAUGUACCACAUUCACAACCAAGAGUGACAGCUCUAAUUACCAGAAUUUCUGCCCAAUAAGAUCCGGCAAUGCCGAUCAAUGGACCAAGUUACCCUCGGAUAACAGCGCAAUCUCCUCUUUGAGCCCAUAUCGACGAGGAAGUUUACGACCUCGAUGUUGGAUCAGACAUCCUAAUGGUGCAGCCGCUAUUAAAGGUUCGUUUGUUCAACGAUUAAGUCCUACGUG